rnacentral:rRNA from 1 species
UACGUAGGGUGCGAGCGUUGUCCGGAAUUACUGGGCGUAAAGAGCUCGUAGGUGGUUUUGUCGCGUUGUUCGUGAAAACACCGGGCUUAACUCGGUGCUUGCUUUCGAUACGGGCAGACUAGAGGUAUGCAGGGGAGAACGGAAUUCCUGGUGUAGCGGUGAAAUGCGCAGAUAUCAGGAGGAACACCGGUGGCGAAGGCGGAUCUCUGGGCCUUACCUGACGCUGAGGAGCGAAAGCAUGGGGAGCAAACAGG